UACCUGCAGCUCGAGUGGUAACCGCUAUUAUUGGGCCUAAAGCGUCCGUAGCCGGUUUGGUAAAUAUCUGGGUAAAUCGUGAGGCUUAACUUCACGAAUUUCGGAUAGACUGCCAGACUUGGGAUCGGGGGAGGUCAGAGGUACUCCAGGGGUAGUGGUGAAAUGUUGUAAUCCUUGGAGGACCACCGGUAGCGAAGGCGUCUGACUAGAACGAGUCCGACGGUGAGGGACGAAGCCCUGGGGCGCAAACCGGAUUAGAUACCCGGGUAGUCCAGGGUGUAAACUAUGUGGGCUUUGUAUUGGAGGUCCCACGUGGGCGUCCAGUGCAGAAGAGAAGUUGUUAAGCCCACCGCCUGGGAAGUACGGUCGCAAGGCUGAAACUUAAAGGAAUUGGCGGGGGAGCACAGCAACGGGAGGAGCGUGCGGUUU
rnacentral:rRNA from 1 species